GGGUCUGUCCACCGGUCGGGCUUUUUCGGUCCGCAAUGUUGCGAUGGAUUCCUACCUUCUGAAUAACCGAAUUGCCAUUAAUUUAGUGGGUCGGGGAAGCAGGACUGUUACCUUGAAAAAAUUAGAGUGCUCAAAGCAGGCUAGUGCCUGAAUACAUUAGCAUGGAAUAAUAAAAUAGGACGGCAUGGUUCUAUUUUGUUGGUAUCUAGGAUCACCGUA
rnacentral:rRNA from 1 species